GAUGAACGCUGGCGGCGUGCUUAACACAUGCAAGUCGAACGGUGAAGCAGGAGCUUGCUCUUGUGGAUCAGUGGCGAACGGGUGAGUAACACGUGAGCAACCUGCCCCUGACUCUGGGAUAAGCGCUGGAAACGGCGUCUAAUACUGGAUAUGUGAUGUGACCGCAUGGUCUGCCUCUGGAAAGAAUUUCGGUUGGGGAUGGGCUCGCGGCCUAUCAGCUUGUUGGUGAGGUAAUGGCUCACCAAGGCGUCGACGGGUAGCCGGCCUGAGAGGGUGACCGGCCACACUGGGACUGAGACACGGCCCAGGGUAGUACGGGAGGCAGCAGUGGGGAAUAUUGCACAAUGGGCGGAAGCAUGAUGCAGCAACGCCGCGUGAGGGAUGACGGCCUUCGGGUUGUAAACCUCUUUUAGCAGGGAAGAAGCGAAAGUGACGGUACCUGCAGAAAAAGCACCGGCUAACUACGUGCCAGCCGCCGCCGUAA
rnacentral:rRNA from 1 species